rnacentral:rRNA from 1 species
GUGGGGAAUAUUGGACAAUGGGCGAAAGCCUGAUCCAGCCAUGCCACGUGUGUGAAGAAGGUCUUCGGAUUGUAAAGCACUUUAAGUUGGGAGGAAGGGCAGUAAGUUAAUACCUUGCUGUUUUGACGUUACCGACAGAAUAAGCACCGGCUAACUUCGUGCCAGCAGCCGCGGUAAUACGAAGGGUGCAAGCGUUAAUCGGAAUUACUGGGCGUAAAGCGCGCGUAGGUGGUUUUGUAAGUUGGAGGUGAAAUCCCCGGGCUCAACCUGGAACUGCCUCCAAAACUGCAUGACUAGAGUACGGUAGAGGGUAGUGGAAUUUCCUGUGUAGCGGUGAAAUGCGUAGAUAUAGGAAGGAACACCAGUGGCGAAGGCGACUACCUGGACUGAUACUGACACUGAGGUGCGAAAGCGUGGGGAGCAAACAGGAUUAGAUACCCGGGUAGUCC